rnacentral:rRNA from 1 species
UACGUAGGGUGCAAGCGUUGUCCGGAAUUAUCGGGCGUAAAGAGCUCGUAGGCGGUCUGUCGCGUCGGCUGUGAAAACCCGGGGCUCAACCCCGGGCCUGCAGUCGAUACGGGCAGACUAGAGUGUGGUAGGGGAGACUGGAAUUCCUGGUGUAGCGGUGAAAUGCGCAGAUAUCAGGAGGAACACCGGUGGCGAAGGCGGGUCUCUGGGCCAUAACUGACGCUGAGGAGCGAAAGCGUGGGGAGCGAACAGG